UGAACAUCUUGGCCAUGUUCUGUUAUAAUCUCCACCCAGCACAGCCAGAAGAGGACUGGCCACCCCUCAUAGCCUGCUUCCUCUCUAGGUUUCUUCCUAGGUUUUGGCAUUUCUAGGGAGUUUUUCCUAGCCACCGUGCUUCUACACCUGCAUUACUUUGGGGAGAGUCAAAAAUGGCAGCGAGUAGGGAAGAUGAAACAGAGGACGAGUUGGUGAAGGAACAGCUGUGAUGGAAUGCGAACAAUAUGGGUGUCAGUUCGGAAGGUAUGAAGCUGGAGGAUGAGGGCCAAGAACCGGAAUGGUCAGUAGUGGAAAGACACAGGAAGAGAAGAGAGAUCAUGAUACAGAAAGCAGUGGAGUGUCUAGUAAAGAAAGCACGAGGGCCAAGGUAGGACGCAGGAGUAGUGAUGUGUUGGAGUGGAAAGUAAUGAUAGUGUUUGAUGAGACCACAGGGCCUCACUUACUGUGAAUCCUAUCAGACUAACUAAUGUCGUAGAUAAAGAGGAAGGUGAAGUGGAAUUAGCUCGGUUCGUUGGAAAUGAUAUAUUGUUAAUAUUUUGUGGUAGCCAGGCUCAGCAAGAGAAGAUUCUGCAAAUGGAAAAGCUUAAUGGGAAGAAGAUUGGUUCAUAUGCUGGGUAGAGGAGUCAUCACAUUAACAGUCAUAUCUCUGGUUAUUAUGCUGGGUAGAGGAGAGAGUCAUCACAUUAGCAGUCAUGUCUCUGGUUAUUAUGCUGGGUAGAGGAGAGAGAUACAUAACAUUAACAGUCAUGUCUCUGGUUAUUAUGCUGGCUAGAGGAGUCAUCACAUUAACAGUCAUGUCUCUGGUUAUUAUGCUGGGUAGAGGAGAGAGUCAUCACAUUAACAGUCAUGUCUCUGGUUAUUAUGCUGGGUAGAGGAGAGAGUCAUCACAUUAACAGUCAUGUCUCUGGUUAUUAUGCUGGGUAGAGGAGUCAUCACAUUAACAGUCAUGUCUCUGGUUAUUAUGCUGGGUAGAGGAGAGAGUCAUCACAUUAACAGUCAUGUCUCUGGUUAUUAUGCUGGGUAGAGGAGUCAUCACAUUAACAGUCAUGUCUCUGGUUAUUAUGCUGGGUAGAGGAGUCAUCACAUUAACAGGCAUGUCUCUGGUUAUUAUGCUGGGUAGAGAGAUCAUCACAUUAACAGUCAUGUCUCUGGUUAUUAUGCUGGGUAGAGGAGUCAUCACAUUAACAGUCAUGUCUCUGGUUAUUAUGCUGGCUAGAGGAGUCAUCACAUUAACAGUCAUGUCUCUGGUUAUUAUGCUGGGUAGAGGAGUCAUCACAUUAACAGUCAUGUCUCUGGUUAUUAUGCUGGGUAGUGCCGCUGGAAGCCUAUCAGUGCCGCUGGAAGCCUAUCAGUGCCGCUGGAAGCC
rnacentral:lncRNA from 1 species